rnacentral:lncRNA from 1 species
UAAGAUGGACCACGUGCAGUGGACCAUUCUAGUCGUCACCGCCAUAUCAACCCUUGUAUUUAAACCUAUACCAAAAAAAAAAAAAUCCUUGCAUUUAAACAUUUCAAGAUCCAACGAGUGUUGUUUGUUUUCUAGGUGCCUCAGGAUUUGAACUGGUCCACUGGACGUGGUCCAUGUAAUAAUAUCUAUAAUUGUGGUGAGGGCCUAAUUAUUAUUCGGAUC